AGGGUGAGUAGUACAUGGACCUUCUGACCUUAUGAUGGAGAGCCAUGGAGAUUAGAGAGCUGGUAGAAGAGAUGGGAUCAGAGUAGAUUAAGACUGAAGUAGAGAAGGUGAUUAUAUCUUGGAUGACAGGUGUCUUUUGGUAAAGGAUUUCAUUCUAUCCAGAGAUGCUGGACACAUCCCUAUGUGUUUGCCUCAGUUCUACAAACUCUAGGAAGAAAGAGAACAGUCCUUUUUUGCUCGUAGCUGAAAAAGAAAAAAAAACCCUUCAGAAUCAUCCUAGUCCCCUCACUAUCAACCCCAGUAUUAUUAUUCUAGAAUGCAAAGUUUAAAUUCUUUUGAGAGAAAUUUCAGGAUAAGAAACAUACAACCACUAUGAAUCUGGAAAGUGAACUGUUUGGAGAGGGAGCCAUGAAAGUGCCUGCACAGAUCACAAACUGAAUCAGAAGAUCCAGAGUGGACUUUGGAAUGUGGUGAUUUGAACAGUGUAGUGUUGAAUGCAUUUGUUUCUGUACGUAUACUCUUAUGCCAAAGGGGACGGCAUCCAAUUGGCUUUUUGUCAAUGUGCCUAGCAAUCAUUUGGUUUGUUCUUUUCCCCUUUUGUCCCCAAAUUAUUGUAAUUUAAAAGUUGAUUAUGUUAAAUGAUCAACUGGGGAGACUGGUCUCCCAAUGAUCAUCAUGGGGGAAUGUGUAAUUAGAAAUCAGUUACCCUAAAAACUACAUUUCCCAGAAGCCCACUGCCAUUAUGUACUUCCUGUAGACAGAGGAUAUUAGGCAGAGGUUUGCUGGUCUAGGCCUCUUUACUUCCUGUCAGCCACUGUGGUGGUAAGCAGGAAUUUUGAACAGAAUGAUUAGUCAUGGGCACGUGGCUUUUAUUUUGUUACCUUUUUAUUCCUUUACAUCUAAUGAUCAUUAAUAAAUCUCUUAAAA
rnacentral:lncRNA from 1 species